rnacentral:rRNA from 1 species
UACGGAGGGUGCGAGCGUUAAUCGGAAUAACUGGGCGUAAAGGGCGCGCAGGCGGGCUGUUAAGUGAGAUGUGAAAUCCCCGGGCUCAACCUGGGAAUGGCAUUUGAGACUGGGAGUCUAGAGUAUGUUAGAGGGGGGUAGAAUUCCACGUGUAGCGGUGAAAUGCGUAGAGAUGUGGAGGAAUACCGAUGGCGAAGGCAGCCCCCUGGG